GACAGAGGGUGCAAACAUUGUUCGGAAUUACUGGGCGUAAAGCGCGUGUAGGCUGCUCUGCAAGUCGGAUGUGAAAGCCCUGGGCUCAACCUAGGAAGUGCACUCGAAACUGCAGAGCUUGAGUCUCGGAGAGGAUCGCGGAAUUCUCGGUGUAGAGGUGAAAUUCGUAGAUAUCGAGAGGAACACCGGUGGCGAAGGCGGCGAUCUGGACGAUGACUGACGCUGAGACGCGAAAGCGUGGGGAGCGAACAGG
rnacentral:rRNA from 1 species